rnacentral:snRNA from 1 species
AUCGCUUCUCGGCCUUUUGGCUAAGAUCAAGUGUAGAGUUUGUGCAAAAUGAAUGCUUUAUUAAUUUUUAUUUUUAAAAAGCUUUUUCACCUCAAAAAUUCUAAUGCAAGGGGCGCCUGGGUGGCGCAGUCGGUUAAGCGUCCGACUUCAGCCAGGUCACGAUC